UGCCCGGUGAUGAGACACAUCCUUGCACGCCUGAGGCCCUGCCCUGAGUGGUCUGGGACAGUGGGCGACACCAUGGGUCCCCUAGGAAGGCCGGGUCUGGCCUGGGCCUGGGGGCUGAGGGCA
ensembl:snoRNA